GGCAGACAUUCUUGAUGGUAUACUAAAUCUUGGUUUGAUGGGUACUUUUCUGAAGAAACUAUUGAGUCCCAGAGGAAAAUGCCCUUAUGGAGCUUUUGAGCUUUUUGUACAGUGGAAAGUUAACAAACAACCGAGCUUGCUAUUCUGGUUGACAUCUUAAUGGAUGCCGAUAAAUUUUAGGUUCUCUCUUGCAUGAGGCAUUGUAGCCAGUUGCUCUCAAGCUUUCAUAUGACCACAGAAUCUGCGCUGAUCUACCUAGACUAUCCAUGAUUCACUUCGAUGGCAGUUGAAGUUCACCAUUUGAUAGUUGCAGCUAAGGAUUUCCUUGCCAACAAAUACAGUGAUAUGCAUAAGUGUGUGAUCCCCAUUGGAUGGAGCCACCUUUUCUUUCCUUUUCAUACAGAAGUGUACACAUUGUUGAAACAAAAUCAUGUAUGAAGUGUACUCAAGGCUUGGUUUGUAUUAUUUCAGGUUCCGAAAUGAAGUGAUGAACAUGCCACUUGCUGGGAUUGAAGCCAUAUUUUCAAGCACUGACCUACAUGUGAAAAAAUGAAGAUGUCUUGUACCGUCUGUUGCUCAACUGGGCCCGUGUGCAAUACCAGAAUUAGAAGAAAGACGUAAGAUCUUGAGUUCUCAUUUGGUUCCGCUGGUGCGCUUCAGUCAUAUGACUUGUGAGGCACUUCAGGAGAUUUUCACAUGCACAGACGAUGACAUAGACCAUGAGCAAAGCUUAUCACUAGGGUACUUAUGUGCAAAGCUUAUCCAGCACACUAACCAGGCCAGGUGCUCUUGCAGCAUGUGCAACCUCUUGUUUGUUAUAUGCAGAGCUAGCUUACAAGUACAGGCAUCUGAAAGUGGUUCUGUUUGAGACCGCAACGAGAUGGAGGCGGUGGUCUUGACACCCAUGCUGGAGACCAUCUGGUGGUACGAUUGCUAUCAAAUGUAGCUUGGUUUGUGUGUGCAUCUCCUAGCUUUUGUGUCCGCGUGUAGUGUUAUUGGUUAAUUAUGUUGUGUCCUUACUGAUCUCAAGUCUCAAUAGUAUGUGAAUGGGUGUAAUCAGAACAAACAUGUUUAUCUUAUUUGUGGUAGGAAAUGGUGUAUAUUUCUUUCGUCUUAGGAGCCAGGCUGAUGGGUCUGCUUGAAAUUCCUCGGGUGGAGAAAACACAACCUGAAGAGCUUUGCUUUUGAUCAAAUGGCUAUGACUGGAGCAUCAGAACAAGUAGCUGUUUAGAAAGGUGUCAAUGGAUUUACCGAGGAAACAGUCACGUUGUAGGUAAGUAAUAAAGUUUACUGAGGAAACAGUCAUGAUGUAAAUAAAUCGAUGUCCUACACAUAAAAAAAUACAGUGUCCCGAGGGAUUUCUUGGGUUUAA